UAACUUUAUAUAGCAUCCUAUACCUGCAGGUCUCAGGGUGGUUCACAAGAAAGAAUUACAAUAUGAAAACACAAAAUACACACCGUAUUUAUUCAAGUCUAAUGUGCCAUCGAAUCUAAUGCGCACAUCAAAUUUCAGUACCUUGAAACCAAAAAUGUAAUGGCGAAUGUAAAUGUGCCAUCAAAUCUAACGCACAUCUUAAUUUUUGCAAUGUAAUUUGGCCAAAAAAGGUGAGCAUUAGAUUUGAGUAAAUGCAGUAAGGAAAACAGAAAUGGCCGAAUAACACCCCCCUCAAAAAAACAUAUAAAAAAGUUUAAAACUAUUUUUUAAAAAUUAAAAACACAAUUAAAAUCACAGUUCAAAUUCAGUUCUGUACUGAAAAGUCACACUCACAAGUCAACUUUUAAAAACCAAAUUGGUGUGAUUGAUCAUAACCAUAGCACAAAUUUUUCAGCUAUAAUUUCUACCAGAAAAUCUUUCUACAACAGCUACCUGUGGACCUUGCCUCUAGAGAUUAUGUACUGGAUCUGGAACCUUCAGCAAACAACCUUAUGAGGGCAAUUGCUGCAAGGUGACUGGAGGUGACUGGAUGUAUGGAAGUGAGAGCUGGACCAUAAAGAAGGCUGAUCGCCGAAGAAUUGAUGCUUUUCAAUUAUGGUGCUGGAGGAGACUCUUGAGAGUCCCAUGGACUGCAAGAAGAUCAAACCUAUCCAUUCUGAAGGAAAUCAGCCCUGAGUGCUCACUGGAAGGACAGAUCCUGAAGCUGAGGCUCCAAUACUUUGGCCACCUCAUGAGAAGAGAAGACUCCCUGGAAGAGACCCUGAUGUUGGGAAAGAUUGAGGGCACAAGGAG